GCCCCUCAGGGGCUGUUGCUGCUCUGAGCUGGGGCAGUUGAGACUGGGCUGGGUUCGUUAAGGCUGACCUGUGGCAGUUGAGGCUGGUCUGAGGUGGUUUAGGCUGACCUGAGGGGGUUAAGGAGGAGCUGGGGCAGUUGAGGAAGUUGAGAAAAGGCUUAGGCAGAAAAGAAGGAACCUGAGGCCUUAAAAUUCAUCUUGCCAGUGCGUGUGGCCUCCAGAGACCUCAGCAGGUGUCUCACUCCCACCUCCUCACAGUUAUCUGGGAGGGAGACCCCCAAGGGAGCACUUUCUGGAGACAAUCCAUGGAAAGCUCUCUAUGGUAGCCAUCCUGGGAGUCCUGGGAAAGCAGCUCUGUACCUCUGUUCCUGUACCAGCAAUGGUUGAGCCUCCCUGGAGAAGGGAACCUCAGAGUUUCUGGUGCUGGGGAAGAAAUGUUUCAAGAAAAAGAAAAAUAAUCGCAGCUGCAAUGUUAAAAAUAAGAAGCUAAUCAAAGGCAGCCCAUGUGGGCGCCACUUUCAUCUCUCAUCUUCAAAGAGGUGCAAACAAACAUUGUCGGCAUGCCAAGCAGCAGCCUCAGCGCCUGAUGAUCCCAUUACUCCUCCAGCGUCCACCCUCCCUUUCCAUGCUGCUGAGCCUGUAGGCAUGGGACUCCAGGAUCACUGCCAAGGUGGCAACCUCUAGUCACCAGAGGGGAAACCACAUAUGGAAUUUCUCUGUGGAUCCAAAUCAUUUCAUAACAAACAUACUUGUGCCCUAUAGAUCAUUCCUUGUACUGUUGCCUUUCUAGUAACAAUAAUAGCAUCUCUCAUUCCCUAAGAUGCUGAAAAGCCUCUGGAUCAGAGCAUUUGUUCUGGUGCUUUGAGAUAUUUUGUUUUCCAAAGGUCUGGUUAUUUUAAAAAAUAAUAUUCAGGCUCUGAUGGAAUCCAGAUGCACUUAGUGCAGCAGAAGAGUGUGGGUUAGUAGUUAAAGUGAUGGCACUUAGGGGAAUUUGAUGUGCUGGGUCUUCUCCUAGCACUUAUGAGAACUUGCCUUGAAAUCCAUGCACCUAAUAGAUUUGCACCUCAGUUUACCUGAAUUUACUUGCCUCAACACAAGCCUGGCUGUUCCUGCAUACCCUGAGGCAGUUCAUAUAAUAAGUUAACUAACUUUGAACAAACAAUUUAAGUAUCAAACCCAAGGUAUAGUGUGAUGCUGUGUCUGAACUAGUGCAACUUAUUGUAUUACAGGGUCAUCUUAAGCGCGGUAACACUGGAGCAUUGCUCCAGAAUGGGGCCUGCAAAGAAAAUGCAGAUCACUGUGUGCUAUAAGGGGCAGCAUGGGAUAAUGUAGCUUAGAUUAAGAGGAGGAAGGGUAAAUAAGGUGAUAAACAAGGUGAAGAAAAGGACUGAACUCUUUCCAUCAGUAUUGAGAUUUUCAGUGGAUGAGUGAGAGUAAAAAAAGAGAAUUUGUUCUGUGUAUGUUGCCCUGCAUUGUUCAGAG
rnacentral:lncRNA from 1 species